rnacentral:rRNA from 1 species
UACGUAGGUGGCAAGCGUUGUCCGGAUUUACUGGGCGUAAAGAGCGCGCAGGCGGUCGUAUAAGUCGAAUGUGAAAGCCCCCGGCUCAACUGGGGAGGGUCAUUCGAUACUGUUCGACUCGAAGGCAGGAGAGGGAAGUGGAAUUCCGGGUGUAGUGGUGAAAUGCGUAGAUAUCGGAAGGAACAUCAGUGGCGAAGGCGACUUCCUGGACCAAUACUGACGCUCAGGUGCGAAAGCGUGGGGAGCAAACAGG